UCCUCGAAACUUCAGGCUCCAGCCCAAAGACAGCUAACAGAAAGAGAGCUCCCAGCCCUCCCCAACCUCCCCCAGGAACUGGUCACCAGGAUCCAGCUAGGGGACUGGGGUGAGGCUCCUGGAACCUCAGUGUUUCCUACCCAGUGCUAUGAGCUCCCUGAGUUCAGAAUCCAUCUCUCUCCUCAACACACAUGGUACAUUCCUUUAUCACUUCCCCCAUCGGAACAGUAAGUUGCUUCAGGAGUGGGGAUUUUUCUCUUGUGGGACUUUGAGUGCCUGGAAUCUGUGCUUCUGUGAAACCCCUGAAGUGUGUCCAGCGCUGAGCCAGCGAUCAAAAGUGUGACCCUUGGGAUCACUGUGCUGACGAGGCUGGAAGGAAUCAAACACUCAUUCUCCGAUCGGGGAAGUAUGCACUGGAUUCAACCUUUCUUGAGAGAAAUUUGGAAGCAUUUGUCAAAAUCAUUAAAAAUGUAUAUACAUUAAACUUUUACAUUCUUCAUUUGA